AAUUUAUUUUGUUUAUUAAUACUUUUCUUAAAUGAAAUCGCUCAAGCAUCGUUAUUCAAACACUCCCGGAAAAUAUUUUGUUCUUGUAACUACAAAGUAAAGGGUCAUACAAACAUACAUCCUGACUGACGAAUGGACUCAAUAUGGUAUUUUCCAAUAAACUUUAUCAUGGUUUAUCAUGGUUAUAUGACCAUAGAAUUAGUUUGGGGCUUAUCUCUCCGUUAAAACGUUGACUGACCAUCAUCAAUUUUAAUGAUAAUGGUCUUCACAUGUCUUUUUUUUAUCAAUUUUCUGAAGAGCAAAUUGCUGGAGCAAAACUUGUAUUCAGAUGCCAUCAACGGCUUUUUCCAAAUCAGUAGAUAAGAUAAUUACAUGAUUUUUACUAGGAAGAGCUAAAGAAACAUAAUGUUGGAGCUAUAGAAAAACAACAGUUGUGCUUUGCGUUUUUCUGAAGUGAUGAUUUUUUCUAGAAUUUUACCCAUGCACGGCAGCAAUAAAAUUGGUCGAUAACUACUAGUUUCAAAACUAGAUUUAUUUGAUUUCUAUAUUGAAGCAACUUUAGCAGCACACCAAUGUAGUGGACAGAUACCCUUCUCGAAAAAGUUGUUCAAAAGAAAUUUGCAAUAUCUUUACUUAAAGUCAACUUUGUGGAUAGAUGGUUGGAACAAUAUAAUAUUACUUAAUGUAACAGAAUGGUGUGUCUGUAGAAGGACCAGAGUUCUUGCUGCAAUUAAGGAACAUACCCAACUUUUCUGCCGGUUACAAAAAGAUAAUGGUUCAAAAUAUUUUAACAAUGGUGGAAUUGAAAAAUAAUUUGGCUAGACACUUUUCUUCUUUAA